ACUUGGAUCUCCACGCAGUCGCUCACCAGCUUCAUCUUGGGCAACCACCCUCCCAUACCUUGGUUUCUGCACUUGUGAAAUAAGAGUAGAUGUCUAGUGGUCUUCAAAGGUUUGAGCUGAAAUGUGGUUGCAGAAAAUAUAAAAUGAUCAUGCUACAUAUUUCACCCCUACCUGGAUGACGGUCUUAGCCAAAAUAGCCUUGAAAUAAGUCUCAAAGAUGAGCAAACAAAGGCUUAGUAACUUUCUCAAGGACACAACCGAUAAGCAGCAGAGCAAGAUUUAAACCCAGGCAGUCUGAUUCCAGAGCCUAUGGUUAGCUCCUCUGCCCCUCUGAGAAUGAAAAUGUCA